GCACGAAAGCGUGGGUAGCAAACAGGAUUAGAUACCCUGGUAGUCCACGCCGUAAACGUUGAUUACUCGUUGUUGGCAAUACACCGUCAGCGACUGAGCAAAAGCAUUAAGUAAUCCACCUGGGGAGUACGUCAGCAAUGAUGAAACUCAAAGGAAUUGACGGGGGCCCGCACAAGCGGAGGAACAUGUGGUUUAAUUCGAUGAUACGCGAGGAACCUUACCUGGGCUUAAAUGUUUAGUGAUCGACCGGGAGACCGGUUUUUCCUUCGGGACACUUUACAAGGUGCUGCAUGGUUGUCGUCAGCUCGUGCCGUGAGGUGUCGGGUUAAGUCCCAUAACGAGCGCAACCCCUAUCGCCAGUUGCCAGCACAUAAUGGUGGGAACUCUGGUGAAACUGCCGGUGCAAACCGUGAGGAAGGUGGGGAUGACGUCAAAUCAGCACGGCCCUUAUGUCCAGGGCUACACACGUGUUACAAUGGUCGGUACAACAGGAUGCCAAUCCGCAAGGAUGAGCUAAUCCCAAAAGCCGAUCUUAGUUCGGAUCGGAGUCUGCAAUUCGACUCCGUGAAGUUGGAUUCGCUAGUAAUCGCAGAUCAGCCAUGCUGCGGUGAAUACGUUCCCGGGCAUUGUACACACCGCCCGUCAAGCCAUGGAAGCCGGGGGUGCAUGAAGUCCGUAACCGUAAGGAGCGGCCCAGGGUAAAACCAGU
rnacentral:rRNA from 1 species